CCUACGGGAGGCAGCAGUAGGGAAUAUUGCUCAAUGGGGGAAACCCUGAAGCAGCAACGCCGCGUGGAGGAUGAAGGUUUUCGGAUUGUAAACUCCUUUUGUUAGAGAAGAUAAUGACGGUAUCUAACGAAUAAGCACCGGCUAACUCCGUGCCAGCAGCCGCGGUAAUACGGAGGGUGCAAGCGUUACUCGGAAUCAUUGGGCGUAAAGAGCGCGUAGGCGGGAUAGCAAGUCAGAUGUGAAAUCCUAUGGCUUAACCAUAGAACUGCAUUUGAAACUGUUAUUCUAGAGUAUGGGAGAGGUAGGUGGAAUGCUUGGUGUAGGGGUAAAAUCCGUAGAGAUCAAGAGGAAUACUCAUUGCGAAGGCGACCUGCUAGAACAUAACUGACGCUGAUGCGCGAAAGCGUGGGGAGCGAACAGGAUUAGAUACCCUUGUAGUC
rnacentral:rRNA from 1 species